CUGCGGUUGAAAUUGUUGAUCUUAGUCGGAACCAGUUUGCAAAUGUGGAUAAUCUAUGGAAAUGUACAAAGAUGCAAAAUCUGGACCUUGGAUUAAUCAUUUGCAUUCUGUUUCAUCCCUGAGUGAGGAUUUCUGAUGAAGGGUUGUGUUAGUUGAGGAUCCUUUAUUUUGUUGUUCAGGUGUGCCUUCGAGUCCAUCAGCGACCUCUGUUCUAUGGAUUGAAGAUGGGGCUUCUACCAUCUAUGAGAAGGGCUCUAAAUGUGUCUCUACAGGCCUUCUGCCGUUCAUUUGUCCUCAUUUUUAUUCUUCCUCGGCAAUUCAGAAUUGGAGGAUCCAUUGGAAGCCAAAUUAUCACCCAAAUCAGUAUUUUUAUGGUGACCACAGUCGUUUCCUUCUGUUGGGAAAUAAGCCAUCAUUUGUUCAGCGUGUGCACACAAGAAGGUGCAGUUUUACUCCACCUCGGAACACUUGCCGAUGCAGUAUCCUGCCUUCCAAGAUUAGUGUGCAGUACCUGAAUAUAACAUAGAACCUUGACGUCAGGGUGCCUUCUUCGAGGAAUCUGGUGAAACUUACAAAAGAAUUAUGAUAGCCUGUUUGAAGCCGCUUGAGGACGCCCUCCAAAUGUUGCUGGAGCGCUCGAAGUUGUUUGGCGCCCCCACAGCUUGUCCCUUGUGGUCGACACAAAUGCAAAAGGAGAGUCAUAAAUUUGUGGUCAAGCAGCAGGAGCCACGGUGUAGGGAGGUGAUGACCUCAAGCAGCAGGAGCCACGGUGGACGUCGGGUGGUGAGGAGGAGAGGGAAGAAUAAAGAAGGGGCCAUCAGAUGGGUGCCGCCUAUUGCGUUGACGCUCUUCUCUCCCAAGGAAUUCGCCGUCACGGCUGCUUUGCUGAUGGAGUUCCUGGUGGCUGGUCCGUAUGGUUGAGAGUUCGGCUAGCAGGUAGACUCCUACAAUAAAGGCGACAACGGCCAGCUGUUGCACCUACCUUGUCGACUUCGAUGGCUUCGAUGGUCUUGCCAACAUAUUGCAAUGAUGUACAAGCCCUCCCUUUGCACGUCUUAGGAUUGGUUACUGGAUGCAUGACACACUGCGGAGAAUUAUGCAAGAGCUGGGAACAAACGUUUUAUUUUGGUAAUUGGAAUAGCAUAUUUUCUUCUAACAAUUAGCUUUCGCCCUCUCCAAUAUGCCCAUGUUAUAUGCUAGAAAAUAUGUGCUUGCUACAUGUUAAUUUUCAGUACCACCAGUGGCAUAUGUGUUUACCUUCAGUGCAUUACUGUUGUACCUGACAGUUUCAUCGGUUCGCUUUUUUCUGUCAACUUUGCAUAAAUUAACAUGAUGUAGUUAUGCAACGAAGGCCUACACAAGACAACAUUGUCCAUUAGGGACGGAUCAAACCUUACAUGACAGUCCAGCAGAGUUGUAUUAGCAAGUGGUACCUUGAUAAUGUACUACAUAUUUAUUGCUUGAUCAUUUUUUUGGUAUUCUUUUCUGGCUUGACUACUUCUGAAUUAUGAUAGACAACAAUUAUAGACCAUCCCUUGUAGUUGAUCCUUUGUGUGUAUGUC